UUCAGAGUUCAUGUGCAUCCGGUGAAUGGGUUCGAAAAUUUUGCUCAAGGAGUGAGAAAAGGCGGCACUGUUUUUUCCCACACUGGACAUCUGCAUCCAUGACUUCCGUGAAGUCUCGCUCGCAAGCACACGCGUAUCACCGAGGAGAGGGGAAUCCGCUCGUGAUCCUCCAAACCUGCAAGCACGGCGCUUCUAGGAAGAACAACGCUGUGGCGUACGCGAAGUCGAGGCAUUGUCGGGUACCCUCCAAGGGGGACAACAGUGGCCCAGGUGAAUGCCAGCGUGCAGAGGGCGGUGCCCGCCCUCUCAACAGGGGCAACAACUCGAACGAAGCAAUUCAGUUGCAUCUGCGGCGUCGUGUUACGCCAGCUCGCCUACCACUGAAAGCACAAAGCCGUUAGAAUCCUGAAAAAAUCGUUCCAACAAGGAAUCGAACCCAGACCCUCAAGUGCUAGUGUGCUACUAAGGUCUUUGUAACCACUAUAUUACAUGUCCUUUCGCGGAGAACGGUUAUUUGACUAACAUGCCGAUGCUCCUUUGUGUUGAUGAUUCAUCUGGGAAAAAAAACACAAACCGAAGAGAGCAAACUCCAAAGGUUGAGUCUUUGUGAUUAUUGGUCAUUGGUUGCGCCGGCGCUGUUCACAUCGCCGACCGUGGAAUGAUUUCCUGGUUGUGUGGCAGAAACUAAACUUGCACUCCUCCAUAUAUAAUACCAGAAGCUACAGGUACGGCUUCUACUUAAAAAAGCACCAACUUAUGCAUAUACAAAGCCAGAAUCCGUAGGUCUUCAGCUACCGGGCAGUGUUCAGAUAAGCAACCCCAGAUGAUUGUUUUGGCUUCUGGAUUCAUCAAAUGAGGUCAUUUUGCCUGUUGACUGAGACAUAGGAUUGCUUGUCGUACGCCUAAUCAAGUAAGAUGUAUAUAAAAUCCGAGAAAUUAAUCUUGUGUGGUCUAGUCUAAGAGGAUGCAUGGUUGAAUGAAGAGGAUCCUCCUAGUUUGGAGAUUAAUAAACAAAGUGGAUUGGAAUGCAAUCCGAGUGUUAGUGUAGGAGAGUCUGUUAGUUAUAGAGUUAGUAAUUAAAUGGUAUGUAAACUCUCUGAAAAUGACUGUUGCGUGAAACGGUGAAUGGUUACCCGUAAGAAAGGCUGCUUCACUGUAACGUGACAGUUUCAGCAAGACUUAAAACAUUACUGUGGUGUUUGAGAUUAGCUAAGAUUAAAAGAGUAAAUGACUAUUUGAUUAUUUUUAUAGCUAUUUGAGGUAUA